rnacentral:SRP_RNA from 24 species
CGGUGGGGUAGGACCGGGGGGGUAGCCGUCCCCUCAACCGGAAGGCUAAUGCCGGGGUCAGUAACUCCCGGGGGCGAGUUGAUGGUAGGGGGUCCCUAUCUCCUCCUAGCCGAUGAACCUCGGUCCCGGUGGACCGGCGGUGGUGAUAACCCAUCCGGAGGGAUGGGGAAUCACCUUUACCACCGAACCGGGUCAGGCCCGGAAGGGAGCAGCCCUAAGGUGGACGUUCGGUGCUGCCGGGUAACUGGGGGAAGGGUAUGGGGAGAACAGGGAAACUCGAUCCAUCAACUCCACCUCGGGGGAGCCCACCG